rnacentral:lncRNA from 1 species
CUUGGAGUUCCAGGGUCAAUGAUAGGGGUAGGUGGUGUUUCAAUGGUAGGUGUAGACGGGGUAGUAGGUGUAGGGGAAGGAUAGUAACCACCACCGCCACCUGGAGUGCUUGGAGUUCCAGGAUCAACGGUAGGAGUUGGUGGUGUUUCAAUAGUAGGCGUAGAGGGGGUAGAUGGUGUACUAGGUGUAGGAGUAGGGGAAGGAUAGUAACCACCACCCCCUGGAGUGCUUGGAGUUCCAGGGUCAACGGUAGGAGUUGGUGGUGUUUCAAUUGUAGGCGUAGAGGGGGUAGAUGGUGUACUAGGUGUAGGAGUAGGGGAAGGAUAGUAUCCACCACCCCCCGGAGUGCUUGGAGUACCGGGGUCAGGAGUUGGUGUACUAGGAGGGGUUCCACCUCCACCAUGAUGAGUUGGUGGAGGCGAAGAAUAACUACCUCCUCCAUGCCCUCCUG